rnacentral:rRNA from 1 species
AUGGAGUCUAAGGAUGCUACAUUCUUCGAGGAUACUUUUCCUAUGAGAGAUAUGCAAAGCACUUCUAGACAGGAAUCUGAGGAGACUCCUGAACCUGCCAUCCCUAUGGAAUAUUAUGAACAAACACAUGAUGAAAAUCCUGAGGAGGAUGACGAGGAAACCCUUGGUAGGGGCAAGAGACAAAGGACUGCAAAGACCUUUGGUGAUGAUUUCUUCGUGUACCUCGUGGAUGAUACUCCCACUUCUAUUUCAGAAGCGUAUGCCUCCUCAGAAGCUGACUACUGGAAGGAUGCGGUCCGUAAUGAGAUGGAUUCCAUCAUGGCUAACGGGACAUGGGAGAUCACUGAACGUCCCUAUGGUUGCAAACCAUUAGGAUGUAAGUGGGUGUUCAAGAAGAAGCUUAGGCCCGAUGGUACAAUUGAAAAGUACAAGGCUAGGCUUGUGGCCAAGGGCUAUGACCAGAAAGAAGAGGAAGAUUACUUCGACACUUAUUCACCUGUAGCUAGACUGACCACCAUUCGAGUAUUACUCUCGUUGGCAGCCUCGCAUGGUCUUCUCGUCCACCAGAUGGAUGUUAAGACGGCUUUUCUAAAUGGAGAGCUAAAAGAGGAAAUCUACAUGCAACAGCCAGAUGGCUUUGUGAUAGAUGGUCAGGAAAGAAAGGUGUGUAGGUUGCUGAAAUCUUUAUAUGGCCUGAAGCAAGCACCUAAGCAAUGGCAUGAUAAGUUUAAUACAACUCUGACAUCUGUUGGUUUCGUUGUUAAUGAGGCUGACAAAUGUGUAUACUAUCGCCAUGGUGGGGGUGAAGGAGUUAUACUGUGCUUGUAUGUUGAUGACAUACUGAUAUUCGGAACCAACCUCAAAGUCAUUGAGGAGGUCAAGUCGUUUUUGUCUCAGAACUUUGAGAUGAAAGACCUUGGUGUGGCUGAUGUUAUCUUGAACAUCAAGCUACUGAGAGAUAAUGAGGGUGGAAUUACACUUCUGCAAUCCCACUAUGUUGAGAAGGUGUUGAGUCGUUUUGGAUAUUCGGAUUGCACACCAUCUCAAACACCAUAUGAUCCUAGCGUGUUGAUUCGAAAGUCCAAAGGCACGGCUAUAGAUCAGUUGAGAUACUCUCAAAUCAUUGGUUCACUGAUGUACCUAGCGAGUGCAACGAGGCCCGACAUCGCGUUUGCUGUGAGCAAACUGAGCCGGUUUGUUUCCAAACCGGGUGAUGUACAUUGGCAUGCUGUUGAACGAGUCAUGCGCUAUCUGAAAGGUACUAUGAACUAUGGACUUCACUAUACCGGAGACCCGUCGGUACUUGAAGGGUAUAGUGAUGCAAAUUGGAUCUCUGAUGCUGAUGAGAUGAAGGCCACAACUGGGUAUAUGUUUACUCUUGGAGGUGGCGCUGUUUCCUGGAAGUCUGGCAAGCAAACGAUCUUAACGAGAUCGACAAUGGAAGCAGAAUUAACGGCAUUAGACACAUCUGGUGUCGAAUCGAGAUGGCUUCGAGAUCUUUUGAUGGACUUGCCAUUGGUUGAUAAACCGGUUCCGGCUAUCCUUAUGAACUGUGACAAUCAGACUGUCAUCACCAAGGUGAAGAGUUCAAAGGACAACAUGAAGUCCACCAAACACAUAAGAAUGAGAUUAAAAGCUGUUAGAAAAUUAAGAAACUCCGGAGUGAUAGCGUUGGACUAUGUCCAUACGGCUAAGAAUCUGGCAGAUCCCUUUACGAAAGGGCUAUCACGUGUUGUGAUAGAUAAUGCAUCGAGGGAGAUGGGUAUGAGACCCACAUGA